UACAUGGGGUGCAAACGUUGCUCGGAAUUAUUGGGCGUAAAGCGCGCGUAGGCGGUUACUCAAGUCGGAUGUGAAAGCCCUCGGCUUAACUGAGGAAGUGCACCCGAAACUGAGUAGCUAGAGUACUAAAGAGGGUCGCGGAAUUCCCGGUGUAGAGGUGAAAUUCGUAGAUAUCGGGAAGGAACACCGGUGGCGAAGGCGGCGACCUGGGUAGAUACUGACGCUGAGGCGCGAAAGCGUGGGGAGCAAACAGG
rnacentral:rRNA from 1 species